rnacentral:lncRNA from 1 species
ACUGCCUCAGCACUCCACUAGCCCCACCAGGAAGAAUUAUUCUGAGAAUUUCCUUUGCUGCAACCACAUUGCCAGGAUUGGUUCUCCCAGGUGUAUGAAGGAAGGAAAGGAUAACUAAAGAACAAGAAGUUGCUGGAAUUCUUUCAGGCUACCUCCUGGAAGCUCUGUUCAGAUGAAAGGUUUUGAAAGAAUGCUGAAGCUAUAAGGAAG